rnacentral:rRNA from 1 species
GGAUCCAGACUUUGAUUAUGGCUCACGUUGAACGCUAGCUACAGGCUUAACACAUGCAAGUCGAGGGGCAGCGGGAUUGAAGCUUGCUUCAAUUGCCGGCGACCGGCGCACGGGUGAGUAACGCGUAUCCAACCUUCCGUACACUCAGGGAUAGCCUUUCGAAAGAAAGAUUAAUACCUGAUGGUAUCUUAAGCACACAUGUAAUUAAGAUUAAAGAUUUAUCGGUGUACGAUGGGGAUGCGUUCCAUUAGGUAGUAGGCGGGGUAACGGCCCACCUAGCCAACGAUGGAUAGGGGUUCUGAGAGGAAGGUCCCCCACAUUGGAACUGAGACACGGUCCAAACUCCUACGGGAGGCAGCAGUGAGGAAUAUUGGUCAAUGGACGAGAGUCUGAACCAGCCAAGUAGCGUGAAGGAUGAAGGUCCUACGGAUUGUAAACUUCUUUUAUAAGGGAAUAAACCCUCCCACGUGUGGGAGCUUGUAUGUACCUUAUGAAUAAGCAUCGGCUAACUCCGUGCCAGCAGCCGCGGUAAUACGGAGGAUGCGAGCGUUAUCCGGAUUUAUUGGGUUUAAAGGGAGCGCAGACGGGUCGUUAAGUCAGCUGUGAAAGUUUGGGGCUCAACCUUAAAAUUGCAGUUGAUACUGGCGUCCUUGAGUGCGGUUGAGGUGUGCGGAAUUCGUGGUGUAGCGGUGAAAUGCUUAGAUAUCACGAAGAACUCCGAUUGCGAAGGCAGCACACUAAUCCGUAACUGACGUUCAUGCUCGAAAGUGUGGGUAUCAAACAGGAUUAGAUACCCUGGUAGUCCACACGGUAAACGAUGGAUACUCGCUGUUGGCGAUAUACUGU